rnacentral:lncRNA from 1 species
GUGGCUGUGACUGCCCGCCCCUACAACGCCCUUCUCUGUCUCCGUUUUCUUCCCAGUGCUCUGAACUUUUGGGCAAAUGUGUCAAGUGUGUACACAGACAAAGCCUCACUUCAAAGCUCGUGUUCAGGGCCCUUAAAGUCAUAGUUAUUGCAAAACUGCGGCCGUCUGGCGAACCUGCCUUAUGUAAGGGUGCUUGAACGUAUGAUUCACCAAACAUUUCCGCGGACAUCGCAAAGUUGUUGGAGCCAGAGUAGGAGAAAGACCACCCAUUUGAGAUCAUGGCUUGACAGGGAACACUCCCUCCUGCCACCAGAAUGGGACCAAUCUAGACAUCUCUUCUCUGGCUUCCUUGUGCCUGGCCUUUUUUGGAGGGUUGGGAUAGUGGCCUUUCUUCAUGCAUGGUGAGAUAACACCAACAUCGAAGGAAGAUCUUUGCCACAGAGGAUCCUAGUUCCAGCUCCCAGAAUGACACUUUAACAGAAAAUCAUCUGAUUUUCUUUUUCUGGCCUGAGAGCUACUGAAUGCCUAGACAGCAUGUCUGCCUGCACAUUAUGAGGCUUCCUACCAUGAUGACAAUGGACUAAAACCUCUGAAACUGUCCGGCUUGUUUGAUGUGGGAGCUAAGGCGGUCUAGACUGGUCUAACACAAAGCGAACACCCCAAGUGGGCCUGGACUAGAGAGGCUACCUGAACUGUGGCGUGCUUAAAGCAGUACCACAGAGAUGGGAGGCACUCGAGUCUUCGCCCCAUCAGGUGCUGCAAGAAACCUCUUCACUGAGCAGUUUAUAAAUAAGUGUACUCCUCAGAGUCUGGAGGAAGGAGGUCUAAGAUGUAUUGGCCCCAAUGCCUCCUAGCUUGUGGAUCGAGUUCCUGUGGAGGAAGCUAACACAGCGGUAAGCAAAUGUGGACUGACAGAGGACACAGGGCCAUUCGAGAAACUGUCAGAAACUGAGAAUCAUCUCAGAACAUGCUGAGAAGGAGAGCUAAGGAGGUGAGACCUGGGUUGUGGGAGGUUGGCACCUGACAGCAGUGGUUUCCACUGCAGGAAGGAGUGUUCUCUUCUGGUUUUGAUUGUCUACACUCAGGCUUCAAAGCCCUGGGCAUGAGAAAAAAAAAAAAAAGGGAGAAUGAAUACGUUAGUAUUCCAUGAAGGCAUAGAAGCAGGUAUGUGGGAAUGGCUAUCGUUCCAUCUUCUGGGUAGUUGUGGCUGUCAGGUGGGAGGCCCAGGGAGAGCCAGUGUCCCGUCAGUCAAAACCAUGGCAGGGUGGCUUACAUUCUAUCUCAGAUAAAUUCUUUUUGUUUGGUAGAGAAGCAUUCUCUCUGCUCUAUUUCAGCUUCAGUUAAAUGGAUUAUAAGGACCCCGUCAUAGAGGGAAGUCUGUCUUACUGAUUCUGAUUUUUUUUCAAAUAAAAUGUUUUCCUU